AUGAUAUAUCCCGAAAACAAGUCUAUCAAAAGCUUUAAUGGCAAAAGAAAGACAUGCAGUUGUAUUCUGCUUCACUAAAAUUUUAAAAUAUGGACUCUUUCAAUACCAGUUAAUGACCUAUAAUUUGGCAAGAAGCUCUAAGAGCAGGAGCUCCGCUCUUAAGCAACUCAAUAUUUACUAAUAAAAUUGGCAUAUAACGCCAAGGCUUCAUGCAAGUCAGGGAAUGCUUAUCUCCAUUUCAUCUUCCAUAUUCAUAUAGAAAUUCACUGUAAAAAAAGAACAUAAAGAAAAAAAAAUUAUAGAAAGGAACAAUCAUAAAUGACCAAAUUACACCUAAAAAAUAAUAGCUUUCACUUUAGAUACUCUAAUUUUUGACUUCGUUUCCUAUUCAAUCCUGAACAUAUUCAGUGACAAUAGUGAUCAAACCAGCAGAAUUUCCCUCCUCCCUCACACCAUUCUUCCUCUUCAUAACCUCUGCUGUAAAUCCACCAUAAAAGA
rnacentral:misc_RNA from 1 species